UGUUGCAGCACGUGGACUUGAUAUUCCAGGUGUUGAUUGUAUAGUGCAGGUAGUAUGAUAACUACUAAAGAUUAUGUGGCCUUUUAAUUUUAUAAAGAAUGAAUACCUAGGUUUCAUGUGAAGGUUAUUGACCCUUUUCCCUUUAUACUGUUUUAUUUCUAAAAGCUGAUUGAUGCUGAUGAUAUUUCGUAUUUUUCAGUAUGAUCCUCCUCAGGAUCCAAACGUUUUCAUUCACAGAGUUGGCCGAACUGCUCGGUUGGGUAGACAAGGAAGCGCUAUCGUUUUCCUUUUGCCAAAGGAGGAAGCUUAUGUGGAAUUUCUGCAUAUAAGAAGGGUUCCUCUUCAAAAGAAGGAAGGUUCAGAUGACGCUCCUGAUGUUGUUCCUCAGAUACGGUCUGCUGCCAAGAAGGACCGAGAUGUCAUGGAGAAGGGACUGAGAGCAUUUGUUUCAUUUAUCCGUGCAUAUAAAGAGCAUCAUUGCUCGUACAUUUUCAGAUGGAAAGAACUUGAAGUUGGGAAGUUGGGCAUGGGAUAUGGCUUAUUGCAGCUUCCUUCAAUGCCUGAGGUAAAGCACCACUCACUUUCAACCAUUGGUUUUACUCCAGUUGAAGACCUCAAAUUGGAGGACAUCAAAUACAAGGAUAAAUCUCGGGAGAAACAAAGGAAGAGGAAUUUGCAAGUGAAGAAAGAAGCACAACAGCAAGAACCAAAACCUCAGAAGCCCAACAAGGCCCCCAAUGCUGCCCCAACGGUUAUGAGGAAAAAAACAGCUAAGCAGAGACGGGCUGCCCAGACAAUUGAAGAUGAAGAUGAAUUAGCGAGGGAAUAUCGAUUACUGAAAAAGCUAAAGAAGGGGACCAUCGAUGAAAGUGAAUUUGCAAAGUUAACUGGAACUGAAGAAUUACUAUAAAAAUGCAUGAUCUGCAAAUGGCCAUUUUGUGAACUGACAUGCUUAGGUUUCUGCUGGGACCUGACACUAGAGCUUACAAAAGAGAAAAGGGAGUUAAAGCACUUAUUAUGCAGGUUGACUGCAUCUGGGGGUUUUGUUGAAGACUAGAUUGGCACAACAGAUUGAGUUCUAGAUUUUCUUUCAAUGUUAUUUCUAUCUUAGAUCAAAUUUCAUGCGUUGUAUUUAAAUAUUGCAAGAAAAGGAUCAAAACCAAAGGAUUGUAUCUUGAUGUUGGUUAUUACAGAUCUGUACACAAAUAAAAAAAUUUUGAUCCUAUAACACAUUUUAUUCAAAUUUUUUUUGUUGUGUACCUUAUUGUUUGUUAUUGUUAGACACUUGUAGAAAAAUCAUGGCUAACAGUGAC
rnacentral:misc_RNA from 1 species